UUCCAGAAUUCCUGCUGCCCGUUCUUCAUUUCCAUUUUCAUGAAUAGCACUUUUUAAUUUCUAGGUAUUAUGACAGCAAACAUUGCAUUUUUCAUCAAUGAAAAAAUGAAAAGGGGGAUUUUCUCCAUGAUCCUCAAUUUUUAAUUUCCAGAAACAGGCAUUUUUAGCUGCAAAACUUACUAUGUUCAUGUAACCCAGUUGACAAAUGCAUAUUAAAAAGGUAUUAGUUAAUUAAAUAGCAUAAAUAGUAAAAUGGGAUAAUAAAUAGUGAUAAUACUGAGAAGGCAAUUCAUGAAUGAUGGGUUGUUAUUGUUAAAAACACGAUUAACAUAUAUUUGAUAUAGCCUAACUUUUACUGUGACAGUUACGUUAUGGGACUUUUAUUUUGACAUGCGUUUCCACGCAUUCAGCUUUCCGUGGAGCCGUUCUAGUCAGUUGAGCUGAGAAGAGCUCGAAACGAAAGCUGAAUUGAAGACUCCGUUUCUUCUGCUCCACCUUGGAGCUAGAUAUUGAUAGAAAAGUAAUUCUAAGUUAAUGAUAACUACUUCUAAGUUUCCUUUUGGACCACCGAGCGACCUGCUCUGUAAAUCUUUUGUGUUUUGAAGAGAAAGAAGCUGCGCUUCGUCGUGUAUUGUUUCUGUUGAAUCGUCUCGGUGACGUUUUUUGAACCUGGAUUCCGCUGUGGAUUGAUGACUGCGUUUGAUGGCGAGCCACCCACCCCAUUGAGUCGGAUCCUGUCCUGUGUCAUUGUACAUGGUGCAUAUGUGGUAGGGUUGUGACCUGCCUGUGUCACAACAACACUGACUGACUGACUUGAGUUGUUACUUUAACGGUUUACAAACUGAACUAAGGCCUUGAACUGAACGGAACUACUAUAAAGGAACUACUUUUUCUUUUUUUUUUUCUUGAACAACUGAAAGGAACUCUUUUCUCUUUGAGGAUUUAAAGGACUGAUUUAAAGGACUGUUCCCAACUUUUGGAAAAUAGACAAUUACUCACUUUUGAAGGACAAUUCAUUUUAUUUUAUUUUAAAGGGUCAAUUCUUUUCUUUUAUUUUGGGAAUAUGUACAUAUUUUCUACCUUGCAAUUCAUAACUAAAGAAAGAAAAAAAGUA